rnacentral:piRNA from 1 species
UAUUUCAUAGUCAGAAAAAUU